ACAGGUGGUUCUCUUUCAGAGCACAACCUCGGUAGCCAGCUGGCGUGGUUCGACCAGGUGGUUCACUCAAGCAAUAACAAUCAGAUAUCCCUGGCUGGUCUACCUGAGACACCUCAUAUACUGGCCAGGAACAGUUACUUCCAGCUGGGUAUUGGUCUGCCAGACCUGCCCUACCAGCAGUGCUUGACACCCAGACGUGAACGAGGUCACUGCCGUCUGCUCCAGCACUGUAUACUGCCAGAGUUCUCACAGAACUUCCAGGUCUUCCUACAGUAUGUCUGCUUUAUUGAAGGAACGUACGUGGGAGCUUGUUGCCCAGUCAAAGUGAACAGCAACCUGGUAACUCAACCACCACCACCACCACCCACACCAAAACCCACACCACGACCCACAACACCACCCAGUGAAUCACGAGGUUAGUACUAACUUUCUAGAGU